rnacentral:lncRNA from 1 species
AAACAACAAAUAUAUUUUGAUAAACUAUUUGGGGAAGGGGCUACAGCGUCGAGAAACUGCGCAGACAACAAAAUGUGAGCUAUACACGGAUGCAGGAAACAAGGAGAAAUGUUCCUUUGGGGUUUUCGCCAAUUAGAGAAAUCCGGAGGAGAGAAGCAGGGCAGUGGCGGCACAGCGGAAACAGUGUUGGAGAUUGAAGCUACUCUUCCUCCAGCUCGUGAGGCAAGCUUCUACCACUUACUCUGCCUUUAUAAAUGUCCGUCUGUCCACUUUACAGACAAGGAAAGUGCUGGAAGUCGAAUUUAAGUUGAGCUUGGUUAUUCUAAGGCUCUCUGCUCAGCACUGGUUAGCCUUGGAUGGACUGCAGACAGACAGGAAAAUGUGCUCAGAAUAAAAGGUGUUCUUAAAACUGUAAGACAUGGCUGGCACAAUAGCCAAGCCAGUCAAAGCUCGAGCCAUGCCAGCUGAUGACCUGAGUCUGAACCCUGGAACCCACGGUGGGAGAAGAGGAAUAGCCGUGCCCUCCAUGCACGGUGUAGCAUGCACACAGGCACACAUUCACAUGCCUGUGAGUGUGCACACACACAGUAACAAUAGUGAAUAUAAGUAAGAGUGAAUUAUGUGAUGAGCUGUAAUCCCAGUGUUUGGGCAACAGAAACAAAAAAUAUCAGGAAUUCAAGGUCAUCCUGUCAACUACACAACAAGUUCAAGGCCAGCCGGAGCUCCGUGCCAGUCUGUGCUGAAAAAGAAGAAAAACCUAAGAAGAGAUGACAAGACAGGGAAAGGGAAAGGUGGCAAGAAGGAAGGAAGGACGGACAGAAGGACAGACAGGAAAUACACAGACAAUCAGAGGGUGGUUGCCAAUCUGAUGUCCUCAGCCUUCCUGGCCUAUUUCACGUCCUCUCAGCGACCUGCACACACAGGCCCUGUUUGUUCUGUUCCUUACCACGGCUCUCAUUUUACUUCUCUGGCUGCUUGCUAACCCAUUCUUCAGCAUCCUGUGUUUCUUACCUG